CCCACCACUCUCUCUCUCUCUCUCUCUCUCGCCGUACUUCUAUCUUCUUCUUCUCUCUGCCACCGCCUUACUCCCUUCAAACCCGGCGGCUACUGUCGCCGCCAGCCACCACUGCCACGGUAUCCCCUUUGUAGGCCUCGCAUCUGCCUGCCUCUCGUUCCCUCUCUAAAUCAUGAAAAAUCCCCAAAAAUCCCUAGCUUUCUUCCCUUUCAAUUUCCGACGAGAUUACCGCCUGAACCACCCUCUUCUUCUUCAGUCGACAGCAACGGUCAGCCGGACCGCCGUCAUCUUCCCUCAUCUCUCAAGCCUCUAUCACCGUCUCCCUCUCGACUCCGAUGAGCAGCCGCUAUGAAUCCCCGCCGCCUUCACCGCUUCCCUCCAUACUAAUAUAAAGAUUCGAUUUUUCCUCUUUCCCUUCCAUUUCUUCACUCGAGCUCCAUCCCUGCUCUCCAACAAGACUUCACUCAAAAGGGUAAUUUACUGCCCUAAACAAGUGCAAUUAAUCUAUCUUUCUGCCACUGUCGCAAACCCAGAUGAGUUGGCGGGUUGGAUUGGUCAGAUUCAUGGAAAAACUGAGUUGGUAACAUCAUCUAAGCGUCCAGUUCCGUUGACUUGGCACUUCUCAACAAAGACAGCAUUGUUACCACUUCUUGAUCAGAAAGGCACUGGCAUGAACAGAUGGUGGGAUAUGGAUGGGCUGGGAUGUUGAGAAAAUACUUGGUUGAUCCAGUUGACAUGUGGUGGCCUUCCAAUGUCACGCAAGUUUCCUUGUUUAGGUGAACUCGCUCGUGUUGGUGGAGGAUCAAGUAGAUGGGAGUCGAUGAGCUAUGAGGACUACUACAAAAGAGAAGGCUGAAGCAGAGAACGUCGUUUCAAAUGUCUAGCAAGUUGCGCGCAUUUGUAAUAUUUUUUAAUUAAUCAUAUAGCUAACUAGAAUAUUUGUGUUGUUUUCAUUAUAUUUGGAUGAUAAUGUAUGAAUAUUUCGGAUGUUAUAUAAUAUAUGUUAUCGAUGGCAA